UAGGGAAUCUUCGGCAAUGGACGAAAGUCUGACCGAGCAACGCCGCGGGAGUGAAGAAGGUUUUCGGAUCGUAAAACUCUGUUGUUAGAGAAGAACAAGGACGUUAGUAACUGAACGUCCCCUGACGGUAUCUAACCAGAAAGCCACGGCUAACUACGUGCCAGCAGCCGCGGUAAUACGUAGGUGGCAAGCGUUGUCCGGAUUUAUUGGGCGUAAAGCGAGCGCAGGCGGUUUCUUAAGUCUGAUGUGAAAGCCCCCGGCUCAACCGGGGAGGGUCAUUGGAAACUGGGAGACUUGAGUGCAGAAGAGGAGAGUGGAAUUCCAUGUGUAGCGGUGAAAUGCGUAGAUAUAUGGAGGAACACCAGUGGCGAAGGCGGCUCUCUGGUCUGUAACUGACGCUGAGGCUCGAAAGCGUGGAAAGCAAACAGG
rnacentral:rRNA from 1 species